rnacentral:rRNA from 1 species
UAUGUGUGAAGAAGGUGUACCGUGAGGAGCGCUGGAACGCAUAGAAGUGAGAAUGCCGGUAUGAGUAGCGCAAGACAGGUGAGAAUCCUGUCCACCGUAAGACUAAGGUUUCCAGGGGAAGGCUCGUCCGCCCUGGGUUAGUCGGGACCUAAGGAGAGACCGAAAGGUGUAUCCGAUGGACAACAGGUUGAUAUUCCUGUACUAGAGUAUAUAGUGAUGGAGGGACGCAGUAGGCUAACUAAACCAGACGAUUGGAAGUGUCUGGUCAAACAGUGAGGUGUGAUAUGAGUCAAAUGCUUAUAUCUUUAACAUUGAGCUGUGACGAGGAGCGAAGUUUAGUAGCGAAGUUAGUGAUGUCACACUGCCAAGAAAAGCUUCUAGCGAUACAUAUACUCUAC